GAUGAACGCUGGCGGUAUGCCUAACACAUGCAAGUCGUACGAGAGUUUUUAACUCUAGUGGCGGACGGGUGAGUAACACGUGAGAAUUUGCCUUUAGGAGGGGAUAACAAUUGGAAACGAAUGCUAAUACCCCAUAUGCUUUUGAGUGAAAUGGAUUUUAUCCGCCUAGAGAGAAGCUCGCGGCUGAUUAGCUUGUUGGUAAGGUAAGAGCUUACCAAGGCGACGAUCAGUAUCNGGUUUGAGAGGACGAUCAGACACACUGGAACUGAGACACGGACCAGACUCCUACGGGAGGCAGCAGUGAGGAAUAUUGGUCAAUGGGCGCAAGCCUGAACCAGCCAUGCCGCGUGCAGGAAGAAUGCCCUAUGGGUUGUAAACUGCUUUUAUUUGGGAAUAAACCUCUUUACGUGUAGAGAGCUGAAGGUACCAAAUGAAUAAGCACCGGCUAACUCCGUG
rnacentral:rRNA from 1 species